AGUGACCGCUGGCGGCGUGCCUAAUACAUGCAAGUCGAACGGAGUGGCGCACGGGUGAGUCAUAUAUAGCUAAUCUGCCCCUUGCUGGAGGACAACAGUGAGAAAUGACUGCUAAUACUCCAUAGCAAGGGAUGCAACUAUAUCGUAUCAGCUAGUCGGUUGGGUAACGGCCUACCGAGGCUAUGACGCGUAAAUGGUCUGAGAUGAGGAUCAGUCACAUUGGAACUGAGACACGGUCCAAACUCCUACGGGAGGCAGCCGUAGGAAAGAGUGCGCAAUGGGGGAAACCCUGACGCAGCAACGCCGCGUGGAGGAUGACACUUUUCGGAGCGUAAACUCCUGUUGUUAGGGAAGCGGUACCUAACGAAUAAGCACCGGCUAACUCCGUGCGAGCAGCCGCGGUAAUUC
rnacentral:rRNA from 1 species